AUUGAACGCUGGCGGCAUGCCUUACACAUGCAAGUCGAACGGUAACAGGUUAAGCUGACGAGUGGCGAACGGGUGAGUAAUGUAUCGGAACGUGCCCAGUCGUGGGGGAUAACUGCUCGAAAGAGUAGCUAAUACCGCAUACGACCUGAGGGUGAAAGCGGGGGAUCGCAAGACCUCGCGCGAUUGGAGCGGCCGAUAUCAGAUUAGGUAGUUGGUGAGGUAAAGGCUCACCAAGCCGACGAUCUGUAGCUGGUCUGAGAGGACGACCAGCCACACUGGGACUGAGACACGGCCCAGACUCCUACGGGAGGCAGCAGUGGGGAAUUUUGGACAAUGAGCGCAAGCCUGAUCCAGCCAUGCCGCGUGCGGGAAGAAGGCCUUCGGGUUGUAAACCGCUUUUGUCAGGGAAGAAAAGGUUCUGGCUAAUACCUGGGACUCAUGACGGUACCUGAAGAAUAAGCACCGGCUAACUACGUG
rnacentral:rRNA from 1 species